AACCAUAUUAUCCAACCACUGAUGAAAUCAUCAAGUUGAACUUUGACGUCCACACCUUCCAUUACCUUCCAGAUAGGUUAAAGGCUUCGAAAGUUCAGAAAUCGACGUUUAACCUUUCCCUCCCCCUCUCUCGAAUUCUCAAAACCAACCCUCGAUACGAACGUGAACGAGGUUUUACAAGUUUUCGCCG